ensembl:lncRNA
CAGGGACGUGUCAACAGGCGGCGUCACACGACUUGGUUCAUCCGAGUGAAGUGGAUGUGUGUUUCGACGGAAUUUAAGGAACAGUCCGCCCAUUUAACACCGUCUUUCGACCAUUGGGUGCCCUUUGCUGAGACCAUCACAGACCGCCAGACAACAGCUUACGAGACCACCAAGAAAGUCGCCAAGUAACCCUUCAUGCUGGGGUUUUUGGUUUUCAGUUUGUAGUCAAAUACCAUCUCUUACUAACCUGGGACGGAGCAAGCUGACGUCUAAUGUGUCAUCUGUGGCACCAAAUGUUAACUUGAUCUAUUUACAAAAAUCUAUUUGAUGGAAAGUUAUACUGUAUCAAUUAAUUAACACUUAAUUAUCCAUUAACUAACCUUAUUAAGUGUAGUAAUAAGAAAUAACUAACAAUUGAGUAAAAGUAUGUUAACUAAUGGGCAAGAAAUAAUUUAC